UGCAGAAUCCCGUGAACCAUCGAGUUUUUGAACGCAAGUUGCGCCCGAAGCCUUUUGGCCGAGGGCACGUCUGCCUGGGCGUCACGC
rnacentral:rRNA from 2 species